rnacentral:rRNA from 1 species
GGAUCCAGACUUUGAUCCUGGCUCAGGAUGAACGCUGGCGGCGUGCUUAACACAUGCAAGUCGAACGGGAUCCAUCAGGCUUUGCUUGGUGGUGAGAGUGGCGAACGGGUGAGUAAUGCGUGACCGACCUGCCCCCAUACACCGGAAUAGCUCCUGGAAACGGGUGGUAAUGCCGGGAUGCUCCAGUUGAUCGCAUGGUCUUCUGGGAAAGCUUUCGCGGUAUGGGAUGGGGUCGCGUCCUAUCAGCUUGACGGCGGGGUAACGGCCCACCGUGGCUUCGACGGGUAGCCGGCCUGAGAGGGCGACCGGCCACAUUGGGACUGAGAUACGGCCCAGACUCCUACGGGAGGCAGCAGUGGGGAAUAUUGCACAAUGGGCGCAAGCCUGAUGCAGCGACGCCGCGUGAGGGAUGGAGGCCUUCGGGUUGUAAACCUCUUUUAUCGGGGAGCAAGCGAGAGUGAGUUUACCCGUUGAAUAAGCACCGGCUAACUACGUGCCAGCAGCCGCGGUAAUACGUAGGGUGCAAGCGUUAUCCGGAAUUAUUGGGCGUAAAGGGCUCGUAGGCGGUUCGUCGCGUCCGGUGUGAAAGUCCAUCGCUUAACGGUGGAUCCGCGCCGGGUACGGGCGGGCUUGAGUGCGGUAGGGGAGACUGGAAUUCCCGGUGUAACGGUGGAAUGUGUAGAUAUCGGGAAGAACACCAAUGGCGAAGGCAGGUCUCUGGGCCGUUACUGACGCUGAGGAGCGAAAGCGUGGGGGAGCGAACAGGAUUAGAUACCCUGGUAGUCCACCGCCGUAAACGGUGGAUGCUGGAUGUGGGGGCCCGUUCCACGGGUUCCGUGUCGG